AUACGUAGGUGACAAGCGUUAUCCGGAUUUACUGGGCGUAAAGGGCGUGUAGGCGGUCUUGCAAGUCAGAAGUGAAAUUCCUGAGCUCAACUCGGGCGCUGCUUCUGAAACUGCAGGACUUGAGUGCUGGAGGGGAUAGCGGAAUUCCUAGUGGAGCGGUAAAAUGCGCAGAUAUUAGGAAGAACACCGGUGGCGAAGGCGGCUAUCUGGACAGUAACUGACGCUGAGGCGCGAAAGCGUGGGGAGCAAACAGGAUUAGAUACCCUGGUAGUCCACGCCGGAAACGAUGAAUACUAGGUGUAGGGGGUAUCGACUCCCUCUGUGCCGCAGUUAACACAAUAAGUAUUCCGCCUGGGGAGUACGGCCGCAAGGUUGAAACUCAAAUGAAUUGACGGGG
rnacentral:rRNA from 1 species